rnacentral:rRNA from 1 species
GACGAACGCUGGCGGCGUGCCUAAUACAUGCAAGUCGAACGAGAGCGACCGGUGCUUGCACUGGUCAAUCUAGUGGCGAACGGGUGAGUAACACGUGGGUAACCUGCCCAUCAGAGGGGGAUAACAUCCGGAAACGGAUGCUAAAACCGCAUAGGUCCUUUAACUGCAUGGUUGAAGGAGGAAAAGAGGCGCAAGCUUCUGCUGAUGGAUGGACCCGCGGUGCAUUAGCUAGUUGGUGAGGUAACGGCUCACCAAGGCCGUGAUGCAUAGCCGACCUGAGAGGGUGAUCGGCCACAUUGGGACUGAGACACGGCCCAAACUCCUACGGGAGGCAGCAGUAGGGAAUCUUCCGCAAUGGACGCAAGUCUGACGGAGCAACGCCGCGUGAGUGAAGAAGGUUUUCGGAUCGUAAAACUCUGUUGUUAGAGAAGAACAAGUGCUAGAGUAACUGUUAGCGCCUUGACGGUAU